rnacentral:lncRNA from 1 species
CAGCACACAGGACACUGCUGCUAACAAGAGCGUAGGCCUGAAUGCCAGGAACAUGGACUCGCGACAUUCAUUUGCAAAAAGGCAAACAUGGAGGUUUUCUCAUCCAGAAAAUGCUGCAGCUUCUACCAGCACCUUGGUAACAUCUAACAGCAAGGAGCGCAGUGUGUAAUGCCUACUCAAGAUAAGAAGCCACAACCCUGAAAAGGAAUUAUCUGAAUACGAAUCCCACUGUUCUCCUGGCAGCCCUGCCCUGGCUUUGCAGCAACAAGAGCACCAAGCAGCUCAGCCAUGACACCAACUACACUUUGCCAAAGUGGUAGAAAAAGAGUUAGAGAAGCAAGCAGGAGCAGGCUGUGGACAGCCCACGUCUGCUGCAGCACAAGUGUAAGAAAAGAAUAUGAUUUGGACUACUGUAAGCCUUUCACCAUCUCCCUCAAGGAAACUGCUGAAGAUAAAAUUACAAAUGCAUAUCGUAAGGAGCAGGAGAAAAGCGUGAGGAGGAAGGAGCAACAAAGAAGAACUCCUGGGCUGCCCGCAGCUUCCCCUCCCCAUCCCUUGUGUCGCUUGUGAGGACAGAAGAGCUGACAGGAGAGAGCAGAGGAACAGGGAACCACAGGACAAGGUUGAGCCUGGGAAGAAGGGAGAACUGGGGCAAGGUGGCUUUAGGUUUGGCUUUGUUUCUUACCAUCAUACUCUGUUUUUCAUUCCCAAUAAAGUAAAUUAAUCUUACUCUUCCUUUACUCUCCCACUGCAUCACCUUUUUCUAACACUGCC